AUGGAUAAACCAUCCCAAGUGUAUCUGAAGGGUAUUUUGAUAAGAUGUGCAAAUGAUUAAAUAACUUUAAACAACAAUUAAGAUCAAAUAUAACAAAUGAAACGAAGUAUUUGUAAGAGGGAAUAUGUUUAUUAAACGUAUAUUUGUACGAUGGGAAAAUAUUUAUUGACCCAAAUGAUUUAAAAGAAGGACGAUCGCGAAAGAUAUCAAAGGGACAGUCAAAAUCAUAAAUCGAAAAUAAACUGACAACGCCAUGGCUAAAAAUGAAAAAGACAAACAGAC
rnacentral:lncRNA from 1 species